UCUCUGCCUACAGCUGUUGUGCUGACAGAAUGAUCCCUCGGGCCCAUCUUCUCUGGCUACUGGUGCUCUGGGCACAGGGUUCCCAAGGCAAGAUUGUGAUGACACAGUCUCCAUCCUCUCUGUCUGCACGUCCAGGAGAGAGAGUCACCAUAAACUGCAAGGCCAGUGAGAGUAUUACAGACAGUUUUGGUGACGACCUCUUAUACUGGUACCAGCAUAAACCUGGCCAAGCCCCCAGGAACCUCAUCUACUGGGCUACCAAGCUGGCAUCUGGAGUGCCAGCCCGGUUCAGUGGCAGCAGGUCUGGGACAGAUUUCACUCUCAGGAUCAGCAGCAUGGAGCCUGAGGAUGCUGCAGUCUAUUACUGUCAGCAGGGUUAUAAGGAACCUCCCACAGUGAUAUAUUCUCAAACAAAAACCUCUCAAGGCUCAGGCCAAAUGAGCAGUGAAGCUCCAGCACCCCAGCUACUUCCCCUUCCUCAGAAGGUGCUGUGGGGGCUGCUCAAAGGCAGCCUCUCUACCUCUCUUUGGCAUUCAUUGAGUCUUCCUAGGCUGUCCAGUGUUCCCUGCGAAGAGACACACCAGAAGAAAAGACUGGAGACAUUCUGGCUCAGAAGCAAUUUGGCUGUUCUCCCUGUAUAA